UGAUUUUUGUUUUUUCAUUUUGUGGCCCUCACCAUGUCAAACGAUAUUGUUUGUAUUGAUAGAAAAGAAAUGUUUGUAUGUAGGUGUAGCACAUGCGUGUCUUUCAUGUCUAUUGAAAGUUUUUCCUUUUGAUCAACUUAAUCAGAGUUAGUGGCUAUCUUGAUGUUUAUAUCUUUAACGACUUUACCUAGUUUUCUUCUUACAGAAUGCUCCAUUAACAGAGCAACAGCAGACAGCCAUACAAGCACUUUCCCAUGCAGUUGCUGAGAGACCUUUCCCGUCUAAUUUGGAUCAAAUUUCUGGACACGAUAAUAGUCUGUGUGUCUCUACAAAGCUCAGUUCUCUGGAGGAUUCAUGGGCCAUUGAAGCAGUCCUAGUGAAUACAAAUCAGGUUGAUGACCAUAGUGGCUGUUUAUGGCCUUUACCUGCUUGAGUGGAGCAGUAUUUAUGUCCACAUAUCAGAAAGACAUGCAAAGCAACUUGUUCUAGAACUCUCCUCCAUAUUUGAACUUUAGUUGGUCUUCUACUUUCCAUGCCACGGAGUAUGUUUUCGUUUCUUAAUUUGUAUGCAUGUGAAAUGAUAGAGAUAGCUCUAGAAGUUCUUUUCUUUUUCUCCUUUUGUUUUAUUCUGUCUUUGGUAAACAGAUUUUCCGAAUCAUUAUAAAAUUAUUUACCUUAUCACCAAAAAGUUCUCUUUCAAAGGCAUCCAAUAAAUUUAUCCUCACAAGAACCUUGUCGGUGCACAAAAAAGUAACUAUAGGAGGUUAUUUCUCAACUGUGCGCAAUCAUUAUCCACCCCCUUCAAAAGGCCUCUUACUUCUCUCUUUCCAAAGAACCACAUGGAGCUACAUCUCAUGUGGAGGCCCUCCGCACCCACACCCAAAACACACACACAUCACACAUCACACAAAGCUAGUCACACGAUGAAGGUAUGGUUUUCCAUAUGUGUCUCUUUCCUUUCCCCACGCCUUUUCCUGUUCAGCAAAGUUAAAUUCCUUCAUGGAUCUUGGCAAUUGGCAUGAUUCUCUUUACUUCAAAAAUGUUAAAAGUAACUGUCACAACUGCCAGGCUAUUGGACAGUGUAAUAGGAGUUAGUUAACAUACUCGGACUCCAUUUCACACAUGUUGCACUUUCUGCAUAUAGUCAGGCCUCUUUGUUGAAAGAAUUGCUCUGUUAAUAUUGCUCCAUGUGUCAUUGUCCAGCAGAAUCAAGCCACUUAAUAAGGAGCUUUAGUUAAUUUGUUUGCAUGGAAACCUUU